UUAAUCAGUUAUCGUUUAUUUGAUAGUACCUUUACUUGAAUAACUGUGGUAAUUCUAGAGCUAAUACAUGCUAAAAACCUCGACUUCGGAAGGGGUGUAUUUAUUAGAUAAAAAACCAAUGCCCUUCGGGGCUCCUUGGUGAUUCAUAAUAACUUAACGAAUCGCAUGGCCUUGCGCCGGCGAUGGUUCAUUCAAAUUUCUGCCCUAUCAACUUUCGAUGGUAAGGUUUUGGCUUACCAUGGUCUUAACGGGUAACGGGGAAUUAGGGUUCGAUUCCGGAGAGGGAGCCUGAGAAACGGCUACCACAUCCAAGGAAGGCAGCAGGCGCGCAAAUUACCCAAUCCCGACACGGGGAGGUAGUGACAAUAAAUACUGAUACAGGGCUCUUUUGGGUCUUGUAAUUGGAAUGAGAACAAUUUAAAUCCCUUAACGAGGAACAAUUGGAGGGCAAGUCUGGUGCCAGCAGCCGCGGUAAUUCCAGCUCCAAUAGCGUAUAUUAAAGUUGUUGCAGUUAAAAAGCUCGUAGUUGAACUUUGGGUCUGGCUGAUCUGUCCUCCUAAUCGAGCGCACGGAUUCGGUCGGACCUUUCCUUCUGGGGAACCCUAUGCCCUUCACUGGGCGUAGCGGGGAACCAGGACUUUUACCUUGAAAAAAUUAGAGUGUUCAAAGCAGGCCUUUGCUCGAAUACAUUAGCAUGGAAUAAUAGAAUAGGACAUCGGUUCUAUUUUGUUGGUUUCUAGGACCGCCGUAAU
rnacentral:rRNA from 2 species